UCACGACACAUAUUAUCAGACGGAGGGAGUAUUAAGUUACCUAAAUUUGAGAAAGGACUUCGAAUAUUACUACAAUUCAGUGUGUGUGUGUGUAUAUACACACACUAUACUAGGACUAGGAGAUAUAUCCAAGAAAAUAAAUGCGUGUACCCCACAAUAAUAACGUGUACCCCACAAUACUACAAGGCUAAGUUUUCACCGCAAAAAAAGGAGAUAGGUCAUUGAUUCCGGCCAAGCGGAUCUAAACCAUGUCUCAGAGGUGAGUCUCAUCUAAAUUCUCUUAAUCUAAAUUGUCAGAAUGGAUCUUGCACAUGGAAGUCUUCACAAAAAAACACACUUGCCAAUCCCCAGUUUAAAGUAGACGAAAACAGCUUGCUUUCUUCAGGCAAGAACCGCCCUGGUCAAGCAUUUGUAGCUCCUGAAUGAUUCGAUCAAGAUUGGGCCUCUUACGUAUCUCGCACUGAGUGCACCUUAAGGCGAGGGAAAGAGAAAAAUUGACAGCCAUGGCUGAAAGUGAAAUACAAGAGGAUUGUUUCUCAGCCAUGGCUGAACUGAAAGUGAAAUACAAGAGGAUUGUUUCUCAGCCAUGGCUGAAAGUGAAAUACAUGAGGAUUUUUUCUCAGCCAUGGUUGAAAGUGAAAUACAAGAGUCAACCCAACAACAACCACAACCUGAAAUACAAUAGGAAAUGGAAGAGUCAACCCAACAACAACCUGCCCCCACAGAAUAAUGGACUCUAGGUGAAAUCACUCCCUUCAGCUUCGAAGAUAUAAAUAACGGGACAAAUAAUUUUGCACAUAAAGUUGGGCGCGGACUCUAAGGGAUAGUCUACAGGGGGAGCUGAAUGGGCAGCCUAUUGCUAUCAAAAAAAUGCUCUCUCAAGGGAAUUGGGACAAGUGAUCCGAUCGAAAAGGCCAAGAACUUGUCCCUUUUUAAUCAUUCCAACAUUAUCCAACUCCUUGGUGUCUGCAAAACAGAUUCUCACCUUUACAUGGUUAUGCCUUACCUGAGUAAUGGGGACUUGAUGUCAAAAUAUGCAGGUAUAAAUUGUAUUUCUUUCUUAUCAAUAGCAAGUCAUAAUAUAGUAUUAUUAUUCUUGAAUAGUUACAAGUUUUAAAUCUGUCUUACACUUCAUAUUACAGUAUUUCCUUUACUAUUGUUGCAAGCUUUAAUUCCAUCUUAGAGACAUUGAAGUUUCUAGCUUAAGAUUUCCUUGGCAUCAUUCUAUUCUAAUUUGUACUGGUUAUAGUUAUCGUUGGCAUCCUUCUAAUUUUAGCCACUUUGAAGAAACUAAUAACAAUUGUAGUUUUACAUCACAUGGUCUAUCAAACUGAAUGAAAAAAAUGCAAAAAACAAUGAAGAAUUAACCAAAGACUUGGCCAAUGACUGGAGAAUUAUUGCAAUAAGUUUAUUGAGGAAAGAGUUUCUAUAUUUAAAAGACUCAUGAAAAGUGACUAGUUUUGUUUACUGUUACUCAAACUUCAAGAUAAGUAACUGAAAUGCUGGGCUGAGGAGGGAAAGGAACUAGCAUGUUUGAGGAGACUAAAAAUCUUCUUAAUACCAAAGCUCUAGCGCGUAUUUUGAUUUGGUAGGCCAUACAUAGGGAGUGGCAAAUGGGCGAGUUGAAUUAAAUUUGGGCGGGUCAAAACGGGUUGGAUCAAUAAACGGGUCAUGACCCAACCCAUCCAAAUUGAUUUUAGGUCAAAAUGGAUUUGGGUCGAGAUGAGUCAAGAAGUAACGAGUCAAAACCCAACCCCUCAAUUAUCAUAUAAAUCUAAGCAAUUGAUCGGUGAACAACAAUUUACACUAACUCAACAUAUGUUUCGGUCAAAUUGUAGCAGCAAAUGUUAGUUUUAAGAUUGCAGAAUCUAUUGCAAGGAUUUAGGUCUCGACUACAUUUCAGAAAAUUUAAAAAAGCUUCUGA